CACAACUCGGUUUUUUUAAUUAUACCUGUUGAUGUCAUUGAAAAUUUAAGAGUCUUCUUUCAGAAUAAAACGAUGAAUCAAAUGAAAUUAUGGUUCAUGUAUUAACUAAGUGACCAUCAAAAUUAGUUUGGAUGGGAAAGGGAAUAAGAAUUGAUUUCUUCAUGUUCCCCAUCUAGUUCCAAAACAAGAUUUGAGUGUCUUUGGUGCUGUGGAGACUAGGUAAUGUUCAUGGAAGAUAGGGAGUCUUCAAAUAGUUCCCUUGGGAGUCGGUUUUAGCAGACUAAGUUAUGUUUAUGAAUCAGAAGUUUAAAUGUUUGCAGGAUUACUGCACUUUAAUAAUCGACUAAAAAUGCCAGCUGUACUCUCCACUGAGAAAAUGAACUAAGUCCUCUGUCUUUACACUUGUGCUCUUUUGAAAGCUUUUGAUGUAAAUAACACCAGUUGAGAAGUGAGAAACCUUUUAUCUUAAAAAAUGCAGUUUGAGUGAUGGAAGGUUUCCUUUGUAUUUUAAAACAUUUUUACAGUUGAUUGUUCAAAUAUUGACUUUCUGUAAAAACAUUAUGUUAAAUUUAGAGCCUUUGUAGUGCAAUAUCAAUAAAUUUUGCCUGCUUGGGCAGUUUUAAUUAC
rnacentral:lncRNA from 1 species